GCCGCCUUAGCUCAGACUGGGAGAGCACUCGACUGAAGAUCGAGCUGUUCCCGUUCAAAUCCGGGAGGCGGCA
rnacentral:tRNA from 1 species